UUUUCAGUGUCGCAGCGAAAGCGAUAAACACACCGCCUGGGGAGUACGACCGCAAGGUUAAAACUCAAAUGAAUUGACGGGGACCCGCACAAGUAGUGGAGCAUGUGGUUUAAUUCGAAGAUACGCGCAGAACCUUACCAACACUUGACAUGUUCGUCGCGACUUUAAGAGAUUAAAGUUUUCGGUUCGGCCGGACGAAACACAGGUGCUGCAUGGCUGUCGUCAGCUCGUGUCGUGAGAUGUUGGGUUAAGUCCCGCAACGAGCGCAACCCUCACUUUUAGUUGCCAUCAUUAAGUUGGGCACUCUGAAAGAACUGCCAGUGAUAAGCUGGAGGAAGGUGGGGAUGACGUCAAGUCCUCAUGGCCCUUACGUGUUGGGCUACACACGUGCUACAAUGAUAUCUACAACAGGAAGCAAAACGGCGACGUUAAGCAAAUCCUUAAAAGAUAUCUCAGUUCGGAUUGCACUCUGCAACUCGAGUGCAUGAAGCUGGAAUUACUAGUAAUCGUGGAUCAGCGUGCCACGGUGAAUGCGUUCCCGGGUCUUGUACACACCGCCCGUCACACCAUGGGAGUUGGUUCUACCUUAAGGCAAGGUUUCAAACCCUUGACCACGGUAUAGUCAGCGACUGGGGUGAAGUCGUAACAAGGUAGCCGUAGGGGAACCUGCGGCUGGAUUACCUCCUU
rnacentral:rRNA from 1 species